AGAGUUUGAUCAUGGCUCAGGACGAACGCUGGCGGCGUGCUUAACACAUGCAAGUCGAGCGGUAAGGCCCUUUCGGGGGUACACGAGCGGCGAACGGGUGAGUAACACGUGAGCAACCUGCCCUCAACUUCGGGAUAAGCCUCGGAAACGGGGUCUAAUACCGGAUAUCACUUCCUGCUUCAUGGUGGGGGGUUGAAAGUUCUGGCGGUUGGGGAUGGGCUCGCGGCCUAUCAGCUUGUUGGUGGGGUAAUGGCCUACCAAGGCGUCGACGGGUAGCCGGCCUGAGAGGGCGACCGGCCACACUGGGACUGAGACACGGCCCAGACUCCUACGGGAGGCAGCAGUGGGGAAUAUUGCGCAAUGGACGGAAGUCUGACGCAGCAACGCCGCGUGAGGGAUGACGGCCUUCGGGUUGUAAACCUCUUUCAGCAGGGACGAAGCGAGAGUGACGGUACCUGCAGAAGAAGGGCCGGCCAACUACGUGCCAGCCGCCGCGGUAAUAC
rnacentral:rRNA from 1 species